rnacentral:misc_RNA from 1 species
ACAGAUAGCUAUUAUCGAACUCCUAUUAACCCCUGUCGAGUACAUUACCACUUGUUGCCUUCCGGCGGAGUCAUGCCCACGGCUCCUCGGUAAGAUUUAUACUUUGGGGACGUCCCUGCCAGAAGGUACCCAUAAACUCUGUUUCAUUACUAUGUAAUCUGUCUGAAUCUGUUUAAAACCAUAAAUAAUCA